AUUGAACGCUGGCGGCAUGCCUUACACAUGCAAGUCGAACGGUAACAGGUCUUCGGAUGCUGACGAGUGGCGAACGGGUGAGUAAUACAUCGGAACGUGCCUAGAAGUGGGGGAUAACUACUCGAAAGAGUGGCUAAUACCGCAUGAGAUCUACGGAUGAAAGCAGGGGAUCGCAAGACCUUGUGCUACUAGAGCGGCCGAUGGCAGAUUAGGUAGUUGGUGGGAUAAAAGCUUACCAAGCCGACGAUCUGUAGCUGGUCUGAGAGGACGAUCAGCCACACUGGGACUGAGAAACGGCCCAGACUCCUACGGGAGGCAGCAGUGGGGAAUUUUGGACAAUGGGCGCAAGCCUGAUCCAGCAAUGCCGCGUGCAGGAUGAAGGCCUUCGGGUUGUAAACUGCUUUUGUACGGAACGAGAAGCCCCGGGUUAAUACCCUGGGGUCAUGACGGUACCGUAAGAAUAAGCACCGGCUAACUACGUGCCAGCAGCCGCCGUAA
rnacentral:rRNA from 1 species